AUACGUAGGGAGCGAGCGUUGUCCGGAUUUAUUGGGUGUAAAGGGUGCGUAGGCGGCUUUGCAAGUCAGGCGUGUAAUCCAGAGGCUUAACCUCUGAACUGCGCUUGAAACUGCUUGGCUUGAGUGGAGUAGAGGCAGAUGGAAUUUCCAGUGUAGCGGUGAAAUGCGUAGAUAUUGGAAGGAACACCAGUGGCGAAGGCGAUCUGCUGGGCUCUUACUGACGCUGAGGCACGAAAGCAUGGGGAGCAAACAGGAUUAGAUACCCUGGUAGUCCAUGCCGUAAACGUUGAUUACUAGGUGUGGGGGGACUGACCCCUUCCGUGCCGCAGUUAACACAAUAAGUAAUCCACCUGGGAAGUACGAUCGCAAGGUUGAAACUCAAAUGAAUUGACGGGG
rnacentral:rRNA from 1 species